GAUGAACGCUGGCGGCGUGCUUAACACAUGCAAGUCGAACGGUGAAGCAGGAGCUUGCUCUUGUGGAUCAGUGGCGAACGGGUGAGUAACACGUGAGCAACCUGCCCCUGACUCUGGGAUAAGCGCUGGAAACGGCGUCUAAUACUGGCUAUGUGAUGUGACCGCAUGGUCUGCAUCUGGAAAGAAUCUCGGUUGGGGAUGGGCUCGCGGCCUAUCAGCUUGUUGGUGAGGUAAUGGCUCACCAAGGCGUCGACGGGUAGCCGGCCUGAGAGGGGGACCGGCCACACUGGGACUGAGACACGUGCCAGACUCAUACGGGAGGCAGCAGUGGGGAAUAUUGCACAAUGGGCGGAAGCCUGAUGCAGCAACGCCGCGUGAGGGAUGACGGCCUUCGGGUUGUAAACCUCUUUUAGCAGGGAAGAAGCGAAAGUGACGGUACCUGCAGAAAAAGCACCGGCUAACUACGUGCCAGCCGCCGCAGUAA
rnacentral:rRNA from 1 species